GUGCUCGCCUUGGCAGCACAUCUACUAAAAUUUGAAUGAUACAGAGAAGAUUACCAUGGCCCCUGUGCAAGCAUGACUUGCAAAUUUGUGAAGUGUUCCAUAUUUUG
ensembl:snRNA U6 U6 spliceosomal RNA